ensembl:lncRNA
UGAAUGGUGUGCUGCCAUCUGUGUUUCUAUGUUUGUCGCCUUGUUUGAGCACAUCUCAGAACAAUCAUUUCUUCAUAUCAGAAGCACACUCUCAAGACAUCGGGACGCCAAGGGCCAAACUGUGCAGUCAACACAGCUGAACAUCAUGUAUGAACUGAACGACAUCUAUGCCAAUGUGGAGGACCUGUCGGGCAAACGAAGGAGUAUAUCCCAAAGCUCUGAAGUGUUUAUGAAAAUGUGAUGAUCAACACUCUGAAGCCAAGCAGAAGUGGACCCUCGCCCUCAGCAAAUGCGUUAUCCAACCAAAGACGGGCGUAUAAUGGCGUAUUUCAUGGACGGGUAAGAAGAGAUGGAAAUGGGUGGAUGGGACGCCGCUGACCAAAAGUUUUUUAAACCCUUUGGAGCCAAAUGGACAUCGGUUAAGAGAUGAAGAUGUAGAAAAGAACAGCUGUUAUUUGGAAAACAGCUAGAAUGAUGACCAGUGUGACCACAAAACACUUUGGAGAAGAAAUGUCCUUCAUAACUCCAAACCAAGCAUUCAAACUAACUAAACAAUGAGUUAGAAACAAGGAAAUACUCAAUACUUGGUUCUCUAGUUUAAGCUGAAGUUGACAAGGCAGUUUAACAUAAUGCUAAGCAAGCUACUCUCCAGGUAAAGUGUCCAAUUAAGUGUAAAUGCUCUGAAUUUGAAUAUGAAUAUCUAGUUCUGUGCUUCCUUUUAAACACUGAAUAUGAUGAGUAUUAUUAUUGACAACUCACCUAAAUCCAACCCUAAAUAAGAUGUAAUGAUAUUUCAAUUAUUCCAACAGAUCAUUAUUGCAUCCUGCUUUAAUUGUAUUUUCUAUUGGAAGUAUAAAAGCAUGUGGAACUUCUUCUGCUAAAGAAAGACAUAUUUUAAAUCACUGCUUAAUAAAUAUGUCCAUCCAUCCAUCCAUUGUCAAACCGCUUAUCCUGCACACAGGGUCGCGGGGGGGCUGGAGUCCAUCCCAGCCAACUUCGGGCGAUAGACAGGGUACAUCCUGGAUUGGUCGCCAGCCAAUCGCAGGGCUACACAGAGACAUAUAACCAUUCACACUCACACAUCUACGGGCAAUUUAGAGUCCCCAAUUAACCUGAUCCCCAGAGCAUGUCUUUGGACUGUGGGAGGAAGCCGGAGAACCCGGAGAGAACCCACGCAGACACGGGGAGAACAUGCAGACUCCACACAGAAAGGCCACUGGGCGGAAUCGAACCCAGGACCUUCUUGCUGUGAGGCAACAGUGCUAACCACCAUGCCACCGUGCCGCCCUCUUAAUAAAUAUGUGGUCAAUUUUAUGUUUCCUGCCCUAUUUUAACUUCUACUUCUUCUACAUACAAGUAUUGACAAGUAUUUUUGGGUUGAAUAUAGUUUUGACCCAGUUCUAUAAUUUUUUGGAAUAAACAUUUGCUUUCAUUCUUCACUUAAAUAUAUUUUUACAUAUUCGCUUUGUUAUAUGUUUAGGAUUUCAGAUAUAUAUUUUUAGAGUAUUUCCCUCCAGCUCAUACCUUUACAAACAGACAUGUAUAACAGACAUACUGAAGGUUUUGCAUAUAUACUGUGCUCAGUGGACAAAUAUAUAAAUGCCAUAACUGCCAUUUGACAAGGUUGUACAAUGUGCUUAAUUACUUGUUUGAUUUUUCCCCCCCACUGGGUUUCUGCCCAAGACUUGGUCGCUCAUCGUCAUAUUCUACUGCCUCCUCCUGGUUUCCUUUGUAUUUGAUGUGUCUUCCCUCUUUUGUUCCCUAUUUGUCAAGAGUGAGCUGAUAUUCUCCCCUAUUCAAUCAAUUCAGAGGAUGUCAAAUAGGGGAAUAAAUAGUUAUGCUGAAAGACAAUAUCCGACUCUCACUUAAAACUUUUUCACUUUACUGACUUACUAAUUUUAUGAAAUAAAAUAAACUGUUGGUACAUGCCAUAACCUCAUCUUCCCUUUACCUUUGUACGUAUGUGGUAUAACUCCUCAAACUAUCUCAACGGUCCUUGAUCUGCACCAACUCAAAGGGCAAAAGUGAAAAUGUCCUUGAAACGACCAAAAGAUUUAUUAGGAAUGGAAACACUCUUUUUUGUUACUGAUUUUCAGGUUUUGUUUGUUUGACAAAAGAGUUGUUGGAUAUUAUAUACAUCUCAAUUAUAUAAAGGGAAAAUGCUUCAUCAAAUCACUCUGAACUGACUCUAGAAAACUGAAGGUGCAUUUUACUUAUAAAAGAGAAGUGUAAACGUGCGUGCAGGAAAUGGUGUAUUUCCUGGUUACGGGUUGUUCCUACAUCUGACCGCAGCUGAGAACAUUUACCCGAGAAAGCCACAGAAUAUCAAGUCAGAUGAAAAUGUUAAAACAGUUGUUGCCACUUUAUGUUCCUGCACCCAGAGUGAAUGUACUACUUAUUAUUAAAUUGAUCAAUAACUGAGGCUGAUGGAGAUAAAGAUCCCGACUUCACAAAAG